CAGGUACCGGUUCACGCCCCCGUGGCGACCCGGCGACC
rfam:Actinobacteria bacterium 13_1_20CM_3_71_11 13_1_20cm_3_scaffold_2110, whole genome shotgun sequence.